AGUGAACGCUGGCGGUAGGCCUAACACAUGCAAGUCGAACGGCAGCACAGUAAGAGCUUGCUCUUACGGGUGGCGAGUGGCGGACGGGUGAGGAAUACAUCGGAAUCUACUUUUUCGUGGGGGAUAACGUAGGGAAACUUACGCUAAUACCGCAUACGACCUACGGGUGAAAGCAGGGGAUCUUCGGACCUUGCGCGAUUGAAUGAGCCGAUGUCGGAUUAGCUAGUUGGCGGGGUAAAGGCCCACCAAGGCGACGAUCCGUAGCUGGUCUGAGAGGAUGAUCAGCCACCCGGGAACUGAGACACGGGCCAGAACCCUAAGGGAGGCAGCAGGGGGGAAUUUUGGACAAUGGGCGCAAGCCUGACCCAGCCAAACCGGGGGGGUGAAGAAGGCCUUCGGGUUGUAAAGCCCUUUUGUUGGGAAAAAAAAGAAGCAGGUUAAAACCCCGCUUUUCUGACGGUACCCAAAGAAAAAGCACCGGCUAACUUCGU
rnacentral:rRNA from 1 species